rnacentral:rRNA from 1 species
CCUACGGGGGGCAGCAGUGGGGAAUAUUGGGCAAUGGGCGCAAGCCUGACCCAGCAACGCCGCGUGAAGGAAGAAGGCUUUCGGGUUGUAAACUUCUUUUCUGAGGGACGAAGAAAGUGACGGUACCUCAGGAAUAAGCCACGGCUAACUACGUGCCCGCCGCCGCGGUAAUACGCAGGUGGCAAGCGUUAUCCGGAUUUAUUGGGUGUAAAGGGCGGGUAGGCGGGAAAGCAAGGCAGAUGUGAAAACUCAGGGCUCAACCCUGGGCCUGCAUUUGAAACUGUUUUUCUGGAGUGCUGGGGGGGCAAUCGGAAUUCCGGGUGUAGCGGUGAAAUGCGUAGAUAGACGGAGGAACACCAGUGGCGAAGGCGGAUUGCUGGACAGUAACUGACGCUGAGGCGCGAAAGCGUGGGGAGCAAACAGGAUUAGAUACCCGAGUAGUC